CCUCUACCGCCGCCGCCGCUGCUGCACACGGGUCUUAAGUUUCACCCGGCGAGAUAGAGCGGUCCUGUACCAGCCACCAUCUUGUUUAGUCUUCGGUCCGUGUUGGUGCCUAUGACUUACAUAGAGUCCUUUCCGCUCUUGAACAACCCUCAAUAAAUUGAGAUUUAACAUA